GUCAACAGCCAAGUGCCACAGACUUCUUUUUCCCUGAUAGUGAGUGCUAAGCCUGCUACUGAAUGUCUAGGACAACCAAUACCUUCCUGGUGGCAAAGCUAUAGGAAGGAGGAAGCUUUGAAGCAUACAUCAUGGUGUGAAAAAAAAAAUCUCCAUCUGAAGGACUUGUAAGCAGUUACUGGCACAGAUAGACCCCAAUGACCUGAAGUUAGCAUGUUCUAAACCAAUAAAACAUGGAGAUGAAGAUGGAGAGAGCCUCCCUGUCAUUCUGACAACAGUUAGUAUAUCUCUGGAAUGACAGACUAGCUUUGCUGCCCUCCCUUCCCACCCCCAUUCCCUUCCCCGGGCUUUUAGUGAUAGUCACUGUGUAUCUGCUAUCAGUCAUCAGUCCUCUUGCAAUUAAGGUGUCUGAUUUAUCUGGAGAGGCGUAUUAGCACGGAGCCUGCAUACUGGUUAGCUCUUUGAAAGCAAAAGACGACAUCAUGUUUGGAAAUCUGCCUGCUCAUUCAUUUGUUUCUAUAUUGGAGAGUUUUGACCACUUAUCUUCUAAGAAGAGAGACAUGACUGAACUUUUCCACCAAGGAAAUUAAAAAGACAUUUGAAAAUCUACUCAUUAUUGUUAACCAUCAAGGAAAUGCAAAUGAAAACACCAGGAGACUGUACCUCACACCUGUGAGUAGGGCUAUUAUUUUGAAAAGGAACUCUUGUACAGGGUUGGUGGGAAUGCAAAUUAGUAGAGCCAUUCUGGAAUAGCAGUAUGGAGGGAGGUUCCUCCAGAAAGUAAAAUUUAGAACUACCAUACAGUUCAACAAUCCCACGUCUGGGCAUAUAUCUGAAGGAAUUUAGUCAGAACUAUCUGUCCUUCCAUGUUAUUACAGUAUUAGUCACAAUAAUUAAUUCACAGAAUCAAAUGAAGUACUAAUCAAUUAAUGAAUGGGUAAGGAAAAUGUGAUAUGUACAUAAUAUAUUUAUGAGUAUGUGAAUAUUAUAUAUGUAUAUACAUAUAUAUAAUGGAAUACUUUUCAACCUCUUAAAAGAAAGGGAUUUGAUCAUUUUCAAAAACAUGGAUGAAUCCAGGACAUUAUGCUAAAAGUACUAAGCCAGAGGCUCAAAAAAAAAUACUGCAUGACCCUAUGUCUAUGUAGAAUUUCAGGAAGUCAAACUCGUGAAGUAUGGAGUAGAAUUAUGGUUACCAUUACAAAUUCAUUUUUACAGUUGCUUGUUGGAUCCUGAGAUUACAGUCCUAUUCCCCUUCUAACAGCUGCCUGCUGGGGUUAGAGAAAUACACACCUUCUUUGUUUUCCCAUGACUGUACUUAGAUUCCCUUCUGGAGCAUUCCUUAGGUAUUCCUGAAGAUAAAAUUUGCAUCACUUUGGGAUAUUUCUGCUCAGCCAACAUUCACCUCCUUUGCUUCCCAGAGGCUUGAGUGAGUUUAUCCCACCUGCCAGGAAUGCAUUUUUAUAUCUGGAUGACCAACUCUGACAUGUAAGGAGUAACGCACACCACUCCUUGCACCUGCCUUAUUGCACACCUGAUGGGAAUCUCCUUCCUUUUGUGCAGGGCUACAUUGAAAGCAAUGCAUCAGUGGAGACCAAAUGAUGGUUUAUGAUGUUUACAGAGGGAGAGCAGAUGUUCCAUUUAAUACCAGGGCAGAAAACAAUCCCAGGGAAGGCUUAUUUCAAAAGCUGAUCAAGAAAAGGUCAAAUAGGUAACUACCUAUAUAACACUGAAAGCCUUACCAGGCAUUGCUACUUAUUAAUGUUUCUUCUUUGUUGUUGUUAGAAACAUAUUUCAGUUUCCCCAGGAACUACUAAGAGAAUGUCACUGUCUUCUACUUCUGUCUUAUGGCUGGUGGUUGAGAAAUUUGUGGAUUUUUAGUAACAGAGUUUGCAUUAUGAAUGUUGAAAACCAUCACAGAAUCACAAACUAUAUAAAAAAAAGCUUUUGUGGUUUAAUCAGAUUGUUUUUUGACAUGUGGAACUAGGAUCUUGCAGCAUGCAUGGUUCCACUCUUCUUUCCCUAGCCCACAGCAGGCAUAACGAAUGGAUCUCAGCACUCUUCCUCUGGGACUCACAGUUGCUUUCAGCCCAACAAUUCUGGCUGCCAGAAUGUGUCCAUUGCAGUUGGAAAAUCAGAUGAAUCCCAUUUGCCAUUUUUGGGUAAGAAGGUAAGUUCUGUUGUGGUGCCAAUGUUUCUGCAAAAAGGGGCAAUUCUUAAAAGCAGGAAGCAGUUUGAACCAGUGCCACAGGAUGAUAUGAGGGAUACAACUGCAUUUGACAGCGGCAGAGGUUGGAUUCUGUGUGUUUAAAAGCUGUUGUAUAAGCUUGGCCCCUGAUCUGAGUGGACAGAGCAUAGGUGUUUGAAUUUAGAUCUUGAUCUUUCUAUCCCCUUGGUUCUUAGCUGGGCUAAUGUUUAUACUGAGCAUGCCGGUCUCAGGCUGGCUGAUAGACUCCCAGCUGAAUGUGGUUUUUGUUGGACCAUACUUCCUUGAUCUACAGAUCAAAGUUUCUAAUAUGGUUAAAAGCUUUGAAAAUGAAAGAUAACACAUUCAAUACCUUAUACCAUACACAGAUAAAUAAGGCAUGGACUUUACCCCUCUGGUAAGUUGUCAAGUUCAUGGCCUGCCGAGGUAGAAAUGGAAGUAAGAGAGCUGAAGGUCACUACAGAAAUGAAGCAGAUGUAAUAACAUCACAGAUCCCUGCAUAUCAGUUUAUGGGAUGUGGCCCUUCAAAAAUAAUUACAUAAGCAAGAACCCCCCAUGUUGGACAUAUAUAUUUUUUUCCUAGCCCAUUGUUUAUGUUGGGUUGUAUUGCAUUGUGACAGGGCCUGCUGCCCUAACAGAUCCCAUUACCUUUCCUUCCUUCCUUAUUUCUGGAUCCAGAGGCAAAUGAACACCUAUGGCAGGAAAUUGAGCUGGAGACUCAGAGAAGGUGAGCUGCUUGCAGGGGGCACUGUGGAGCAGUGAAUUGAAUGUCUGAGCAGUGAAAUGACACAAGAUAGGUUUUUAAAACCUGGACAGAUCUGAUAGUGAGUUCCAGUUUUACCAGUCCUGAGCUAUGUGGCCUUGGCCAAUUAAUUUCUGUUGUCUUCUAGUUCCUUGUGAAAGAAGGGGGAUAAUCAUAGCCUUUUGGGUUACAUGGGAAUGAAGUCUAGGCUGUUCCAUUUCUGGUACUGGGACACUAUUCUGUCAUGUGUCAAAGGCUGGCCACACUCGCCUCACAGACUUGCCCAAGAGACCAUGGGAGGUGAUGCUGUGCCAGCUGAAUGUGCAUUCUGAAGGGCUGUCUGGAGGAUUGGAGGUCAGUUCUUCAUUCAGCUUUGUGGUGGCUCCAGCCCUGUCUGCUGUCUGGCUGUGGGGCAAGAUGGGGAAGCAUUUGUUUGUCUGGAGAGCACUUCUGGAAGGCUGUGAUGCUGACCAGAGGGAUAAUGGAAGAGAUGGAAUCGCCACUGCAUGCCAGGUGCUAUGCCAGGUGUUUCACACACAGGAUCCCAUUAACUCCCGGAAACCUGGUGGCCAUCCCCAUGGUUAGAGAAGAAAUGCAAUUCUCCAGGCUCAACAGCUCUCCCAUCAGCCCACAGCAACUCAGAGGCAAGCCCAUCACCUCCACCCUGAUCUGUCUGAUGAAGGAGCCUGGACUUUGUGCAGGCUCCAUGAAAUAGUGGCCAAAGAUACAUGGCAGUAUUUAUUAGCCAUGAUUUGUGUGAGUUGCAAUGUGCCCAUUUCUAAAGUAGACCAAUUGCAAGCCAGGAUGUGAAACCCUAG